rnacentral:rRNA from 1 species
AGACCCGAAACCCGGUGAUCUAGCCAUGGGCAGGUUGAAGGUUGGGUAACACUAACUGGAGGACCGAACCGACUAAUGUUGAAAAAUUAGCGGAUGACCUGUGGCUGGGGGUGAAAGGCCAAUCAAACCGGGAGAUAGCUGGUUCUCCCCGAAAGCUAUUUAGGUAGCGCCUCGUGAAUUCAUCUCCGGGGGUAGAGCACUGUUUCGGCUAGGGGGCCAUCCCGGCUUACCAACCCGAUGCAAACUGCGAAUACCGGAGAAUGUUAUCACGGGAGACACACGGCGGGUGCUAACGUCCGUCGUGAAGAGGGAAACAACCCAGACCGCCAGCUAAGGUCCCAAAGUCAUGGUUAAGUGGGAAACGAUGUGGGAAGGCCCAGACAGCCAGGAUGUUGGCUUAGAAGCAGCCAUCAUUUAAAGAAAGCGUAAUAGCUCACUGGUCGAGUCGGCCUGCGCGGAAGAUGUAACGGGGCUAAACCAUGCACCGAAGCUGCGGCAGCGACGCUUAUGCGUUGUUGGGUAGGGGAGCGUUCUGUAAGCCUGUGAAGGUGGC